rnacentral:lncRNA from 1 species
UUAGACAUACAGGCGACCUAGUCGCUUCGGUAAACACAACUCACCUCAAUUCGCACUCCGAUUGCUUGUAGUCACUUGCAAUCGGCCUCCUACGGCACCCGUGAUCCGGUUCGGCCCGAACUCUCGCGCAACCACCCGAACGACCUCCAAUCCAUGAUCCGGAAAUUAAAGGUCCGCGGUUAGUUGUCACAAACUCACGAUUCCAUUUUCAUGAUUUUAAGACGUCGCCUCUGCCCUCCAGGCGGAAACGAAGCUUUAACGGUCCAUUUCUUCAAUAACUUCGUGUAGGCUCGACGAAUCGCCGAACUGACUUCAUCAACGUGUUCGUAUACCUAGCAAUUAGGUUUACAUAGGAUUAAAGUAGAUCAAACCCUUACAUUUUGCAAAACCCCAUUUUAAGCCCUAGGAUGCACUAUUGUAAGAAAUCAUCACAUAAUCUCUUAAUUCAUGCAAUAGUCUUCCAUUUAGUAUCUAAGGGUUCCUCUAAAUCCAAUUUUAGAGCAUAUAAUUCAAACGUUAGAAAUCCACCAUUUUUAACCUAGCCUCUACACAUGCUCCAAAUAACCCGAAUCAAAUGGAGAAAACAUGCCAACAUCACAUUAGAGGCUAUUAGAACACUUAAACUUAAGGAUUAAGCCAAAUCCCAAAAGCUUACCAAAAUGUAAACGCCGAGACGGAAGCACGCCGCUGCAACGGGCGCACGAAAGCUCGAUCCGUCGCUCCCAACGCGUUCGCAAGCUCGCUCUCCACCAACCCUCAAAUUUUUAGAGAGAGAUCUAGAGAGAUGAAAGAGAUAUUUAGAUAGAGAAAGGGAGGUUUCUCUCUCCCUCCAUGUGUGCGUGUGUGGCUGCUGUGGUGAUCGGCUGAGGAAGAAGAAGGAGAAAAGCUCCUUUUGUUACACCAUAGCCUCCUCAACAAUACACUAUUUACAUUCAGUUUUGCAUUUCAGGUACAGAUAUUUUUCGCCUGCUCUUCUGGAUGUCUGUUUGAGCUUAAAUUUUACAGUUAGGCUCGGUUUUACUUAACGAAAGAAAUUUUAAUCUUUCAGUUUCGACCACAUUUGGUCACCGAAAACUCUACCGAAUUGUAAUCUCUAGCAGAUAGCAGUCGGAUUCUAUUUUCCACCUUCCGGGUGUCAGAAUGACAUGAAACUUUAAAUUUAGCCUCAUAAAAAUAAUUCUGACAUAUUCUCCAGUUUUCAUAAUUUUCUGACACUGUGCAUUUUCUGCUAAUUUAUCUGCCCCGUUUCUCACAGAAAAUUCUAAAUCUUCUGUUUUCGCUCCGAUUUCAGCACAGCUCAUUUCCAACUUAUAUUUCACUUCUCUAAAUCCAAUAAAAAUAGUAUCUCAUACUAUUUUUAUUUAUUUUCAUAUUUGUUUUAUAUUAAAAUCCGGUAUGUUACAUUCUCCACCCCGUAAAAGAAUUCCGUCCGCGAAAUUCAAACCAUGACUCAAUUUAGCUCCUCGAGCAAUUGAGGGCACCAAUGCACUUUCCCACUCCGGAAUGGCCUCACGUUCAUCGGAACGAUUCAAAGGCCCGCUACGGAGGAUACGAAAUCAAACGCAUACAUGUUUGCAAGGCACAACACAUAAAGUGCAUUACGGUCUCCCUAAUUCUCGGUGGCAGCGCAAGUCGAAACUGGACGACUCUACGCGCUCCAACACCACUCGUCACUCGGCACAUAAGGAACUCUCCUUUCCAUUUACCUUUCCCUUGGGAAAUACAUUCCGAUUCGAUUACCGACAUUGCUUAGAAGCAAUAUCACUGGUGCAUCGCUCUACAGUGAGUGCUCCAAUUCGCACUGACCUCUAGCUCUAACAUGAGAUGGCCCACCUCGGCGCAUCCCAAUUCCUAUCCUCAAACUCCACGUGGCUACCACUAGCUCAAGGUCUCACUAAGCGCACUUCAUCUUUCGAUACCAUAUGCCACGGUCAACAUCAAAUUACUUUCGGAACGGGCUCACACGAAUGCUUCGUUCGUGAACUUGAGCCAAACCUCUCGAUAAGGCUAUCCCCAAAUCACUUUCCUCGGUUUCCAUAGGUGGACCAAAGGCCACCAAUACUAUGUAGGCCUACCGCCUAAACCUGUCUCAACUAUGCAUAGUGUCCCUCGUUCACCAGCGUAGACCCAAUCAUUAUUGGGGGAAAUUCUCACUUGGGAAUUCGCACCCACUCCAACCAGGAGCAAUUCAAAACCCCAAACCGCAACAAGUCCUCGGGUUGCUCACAACCGCACUCUCGGUACACUAUCAAUCACUCUACACACUCUACCGAGUACACGCACCACUACUGGCUCCUAUGCACCUAGUGCGAGCCACCAGCCCCCACGAGUGUCUCAUGGCACGCUUCACACCUAGCAAUGCUCAAGUGUUACUACCAACACACUCACUUGGCUGAACUAAAUCAGCACUAAGUCCAGCAUUAGGCAAUCUUGCCUAUGCACGCUGAUCAUACAAGCGGAACUUCCAACCUCAAGCUGAGGUACUACUAGGCCCAUAGGCCAAACUUGGCCACUAACCAACGAUUUCCUCAACAGUGAUUUUACUUUCACUGUUCGAUCUACCGGAAUGCCAUCCGAAAUACUCGGACUAAUCGGGGGGUCCACAAUGAUCAUGAUUCUACUCUCGCAAUCUACUAAUCGCGUUGCUCUAAGGGUUGCUUCACCCUUUCCAUUUUCUUACCACGAGUCUCAUUCCUCGUCUAAAAGUCAUUACUAGCCAUUUGCUAGUACCACCUAGUUCUCUACCUGCAUCGACAGGUACGAUACUCCCCUCGCACACUUGCACUGCCUCGUUCUAUCCACAAGGCCUAAUCUUCAAAUCUCCUCUAAUCCUCCUCUUUGGAAAAGCUCCUGGAGAGAGAGAAGAAGGAAUAUGGAGUUGAAGGGGUACUCCCUGCUGUGAACAAGGAAGGAGGAGGUGUGGGGUUUAUACAAGCCGCCACAGCUGCAUUUAAACCCUCCAACAUUUCUCAUUUGGAGCAGACCUCAACCUGCUGCGAGGCCCAUUUACUACCGGUACAAAGUUGGUUGUCAUCGGUUACACGAUUCUAUAGAGAGCAACCCGAGAGCAAACUCGGCUCGGCUGCUGGGCUGUAGAGCUUACUUGGCAUGGCUGCUGGGCUGUAGAGCUCACUCGGCUCAGCUGCUGGGCUGUAGAGCUCACUCGACUCGGCUGCUGGGCUGUACCGGUGACAACUCGCUGGUUGUACCGGUACACUUUGCUCCAAAAUGCAGUUUUGUGCCGUUCGAUGCUAAAACCUUUCUAACACCUCUUAAACUCAUUUUUAGCCCUUCCAAAAUUGUUGGAAUGUCAAUUGGACUUUGUCCAACUAUUCUCUCAACGCAUUUUGGUCAAUUCGACCAAAAGUGGUUUAACACGACGAGGAUUCCGUUAAUUUCUCAAGGUCAUGAGGGCCGCCAAAGCUUGCUCCCUCUGGCGCAUGGCAGCCUCCUGCUGUUGCUGCACCUAAUCGAUUUGUACCUUGCCACUCCCACGAGAGUGGCCAAUUACUUGCGAAGUUCCAAGCCUCCGCUCGCCUCCAACUGCUCAGGGACACCACUUGUCCCCUCCCGCGCCGAUCAAUAUGAAGAUGCGGUGCCAUCGCUUCCUAAACGCGACAACUUCGUUAAGCCUCGACCCUCUGGGUCGUACACGAGACAACUAAUACUGACUCAAAUCGGGUGAAAGUCAAGCAAGGGCGUCUAUUCCCAACACUCGGUUUCAUGUUGUAUGCGUCCAACAUGAACACCCUCGGUUGAGAAUAAACCACACCUUGAAUCUACCUCUAACAUCCGUUUUAGAGGUUUACUACAUAACCCAAUCCAUAAUCCUUUUGCCACAAGUCUCAAGUUCUCGUCUCUCAUGAGCCUUAAUCUCUUAUGGUUUACUAUCUUAGGGUCUUCUAGGUCCAUCUAAACUAUUUUUUCAUACUCUACUUUAUGCUCUGAUACCAUCUUAUCUGUCACGCCCCGUGCCUCCCCUAUUUGGUCGGGUUUGGGCAUGCGAACAGACCGCCGAACGGAUAGGGUUUCUCCUGUACCGUGGACAGAGUCUCCCCUGUAUGUCUAAAGCGUCGCAAUCAAUACAAUGUACGAAGUUCCAACCAGAAACACAUUUCAACCAAAGAUUGCAUAAGGAAGUAUCAAAAACAUAAAUCUACUUGUUAUUACAAGCAUUCACACUAGAUACAUUUUUACAUCACAAUUCCCUUUUACAAUCAACUUCCAAAUACAAUCAAGAUCUUAGAAUUUAUUACAACUUGUUCUUUUUUUUUUCCCUCUACCUCUAGGCUAUGCCGACUCGGGGUAUUGCUAUCUCUGGUCUCUGGGUAGGGCGCUAUCUUCGGAGCUAUGCCCUUGCCUCACGCCGCCGCGCCACUCACGUGUGAAUCUGUAACACCCCAAAACAAUAUGGGGUGAGAACAAACUCUAUGGCUCCUAGUAGGUACGGCCACCUAAGGAAAAAGCUCGACCAAUAGGUCCAAGGAGGUACUGCAAUUAUGUUAGUCCAAAAAAACAUCUACAGAUAUAUAUAUCAUUAUGUUAUGAUGCAACUAACAGAUAACAUGCCUCACAAUAUGCAAUAUGAACAUUAUGCAAUUCCUGUAACUCAUGCAAGUAGAUUAGUUAAUUUUUCUGAUUAUUCUUAAUCACUCUUUACUCUUAGCUAUUCUUUAUCGCUAAUCGUUCUUUUCCAUAUUAGCUGUCCUUUAGCAUUUGCUAUCCUUUAACAUUAGCCACUCUUUACUAUUUAUUCUCUACUUAUUUCUAAGGGCACUAGCACCUUAGCCAUAUUAUACACAUAUGUGAUUCUUUCCUAAGGUUACUUUACCUUAGCCAACUAUGCCACUUGACUCAGUCUUGAGUCAAUCAAAGGCGGAUAAUACGCUCUCUGUCCGGCUCGAAGUGAAGGAACUCUCACAUACACCUCAGCCUUCAAUCCACAAACCACAUCGCCCAAUGGGUCGCCCAGAGCUGCGUACACCCGUGGUUAGGGAUCUUUCCGGUGGGAGGGGAAUAUGCCACACGCACCCGCGGCCCAGGAACUGUCGAGCUCAUAUGCUGCACUAGCAGCCGCUGCACUCGCAGCUGUGAUUCCGGAAUGCAUAUUACAUAACUCAAGGGUUGGUCUCACCCUAUAUUUUCGACCUAUCUAGGUCCAAGUCUUCGUUCAACCUAAGUUAAUACUUUAGUUUCGAUGUUGAUAUGUUCAUAGCCUAGGUUCAUUAACACUAGGUCCAAUGUCAUUUUCCUUCUAGAUCCACUUGACUCUAGGUUCAUUAUCUUUAUCUCACAACCUAGGUUUACUUUUAACUCUAGGUUCAAUCUUAACCUAUGUUCUCUAACAUUAGGUUUGAUGCCACUCUUGUUCGACCUAUGUUUAUUAACACUAGGUUCGAUAUCAUGCUUGUUCAACCUAGGUUCACGGCUCUAGGUUCAAUACCACUCGAUCUAUAUGUAUAUAUAUGUCCACAUGCACAUGUUGUUCAACAUAGUUCUCUUGCUGUCAACUUACCCUCACUUAGCAUUCUUAUUAUGCCAUUAUUUAUUUUCUUAGCAUUAACUACAUGCAUUCAUUUAUUAUCUCUAUAUCAUGCUUAUCACGUAUUCAUUUAGCAUUUCUUACAUUAGCAUCUCUAUAUCAUGCAACAUUCAUCAAUCAAUGUAUUCAUCUAGCAUUCUCACAUUAUGUCUAUAUGCACAUGCCAUUUACUUUAUACUUUCCACUAGCAUUAUUUACACUAUGUCAUCAUGCGUUAUUUGGUAGCCGACGUAGCAUUCAUCCUAUGCUUUCACAUGUUCUAUCACUAGCUACCACUAUAUGCAUUAAUGAUAAAUAUUUAUCUUUGACAUACAGGUGACCUAGUCGCUUCGAUAAACACAAUCCACCUCAAUUCGCACUCUAAUUGUCACGCCCCGAGACCGCUACCAAUUUGGUCCGGCCCGGGCGCGUCGAACAGACGCCGAACGGACAGGACCUUCCCUGCUCGCCCAAGGCUAACCACCGAUCAUGUGUAAGAAUUUACCCAGGAAUCAAUUCGUAAAUACACGAUCACAAGAAGCACCACCAGUGCUAACAACCAAGAGAAAGAUACAAGUAUGAGGCAUACAAGUAGGUAAUGAGAGAGAGUUCUAUCUAUUACAUUCAUUCGAUUUAAUACAUUAAUCCCAUCCUUUACAUUCUUCCAAAAUAUAAAUACAAGUACUCAAACCUCACCCUAUACAACAUCUACUCUCAAACAUAAAUACAAGGUAGAGCUAAUGCAAAAGGGUAGGUAGCUAAUGCAACUAGGGCGGUAGGCCCUUACCACGAUCCUCGCGCUCACCGGGGACACCCGAGCUCGAACCUGAAAAGAGUGGGGUGAGAACUAUCUUCCAUAGUUCCCAGUGGGUUCGGCCGUCGACUCCGCCGGUCUCCCCACUAGGUCCAAGUGGGCACAAGUCGAUAAACAGAUAGAUAGAUAUAAAAGCUGUAGAAACAAAUAGUAAAACUACUCUACUGUGCCUGAAUCAUGUAUAUGAUGGAUGCAUGCACAAUGAAAUAGAUAAUCACUAGCUCUUCGUAUGUCCAAGAAGUAAAGCUAUUUACCUGUUCAUUAACCUCGUGGCUCAUUUAAGGAUUUCCGCCUACUACUCAUAUAACCAUCUCGAUACUACGAAUCCGAGACCGUCUGCGGGACCCCACAUAGGCUAUCCCUCGGGACCCCAAAUAGGCUAUUCCUAUCCCACGGGACCCCACAUAGGCUAUCCCUCGUGACCGACUCCGGAGCGCACUACUUGUGUGAAGUGACCAUCACAAGUUGGGAGCAGACAAUGAGUAUGAUCCAAUUCUCCUACCUCAAGGGUGCCCUAUUCUCUAGGGUUACCAUCACCAUAGUCAAUGGGUUUCAUAUACGCUACCACUCACACAUGCCACUUGUUCUUUGUUUACUAACAACUCAAUGCCACUCGUUCUUUUGUUUAUUAACAAUUAGAUGCCACUCGUUCUUUAUUUCGGCUAUUGCAUCAUUCUUUCACCAUUGCACUAUAGGAUUACAAGUCUCGACCCAAUCCUCAUCAAUCCCCUAUAUCCAGCAACUAAGGCAUAAUAUGAUAUCAGCUAGGAAAGCAUAAGGAAAGGCGAUGCACACUAUCCUACAAUACAUGUGAACACAGGAUGCAAGAUCUCAAGAUACUAAGACAUAAAAGGGAGCCCGAUUGUUUCGAGAUGGACACCACCCACCUCUUGGUGAUGCCGUGACGGUAGAAAACUCGACGCUGCGGUCCUUGCACGUCGCUUCAACUCCUCGGGACAAAGCGAGCACUCAAGUACCCGACUCGGCGAUUUCUCCGCACUCGCUCGUCGGAUCGACGAACCGUCUUCGCCAACGCGUUCGAAGACCUAGCAAUUUGGUUUAGAUCAAAACCCUAGAUUUCCAAAAUCCCAAAUCCGUGCCCUAGAAUGGCAACGAGGGAGAAAUCCGUGGUGCGAGCUUCAAAUGCGAGCUCGAACCAUUUAUUUAUCUCCUCUAGGUUCCAUUCGAACCAUUCCUAAACAAUAAAAACCCCAAAUCCUAGAAAUACCAUUAGAGGGUUUAGAGCUUACCUCUAAGCCAAGCUCCAAGCUUGAGAGAGAAAGAGAGAAGAUGAUCUUCUUCUUCUUCUUAGUCUUCUCCUUCCUCUUCUUCUUCUUUUCCUUCCUUUUCUUCCUCUCAUUCUUCUUCUCCUUCUUUUCUUUCUAGAGAGAGAUAGGGAAAGAGUGUGAGAGGUUUAGAGAGCAAAUAAGAGAGAGAAAAGGUCCCCCAGUCUCUAAUAAAGGCCAUUUUGCAAAUAGCCCCCUCAACUUUUCAUCUAUUAAACAACCCUCACUGGGCUGAUUUCGCAAUGAGGGACCGCUCCCUGCUCGGGGAGAUCGGUCCCCGAGAGCCUUCCAUAUCGGGCAGAAGGAUUUUGCGUUCGGGAAUCGGUCCUUGUCUGAGAGACCGGUCCCUGGGAGACUGGUCCUUGUCCGAGAGACUGGUUCCCGAGAGUUAGGUUUUCGGGACUUAGCCAAAUUUCGGCUAUUUUCGCUGGGCCAACGUUCGGGGACCGGUCCUUCACUGCCAGAGACCGGUCUCAUCAGAGACCCCCGCGGCCCAACCUGAUGGGACUGGUCCCCGAGAGCAUUUCAGCUCCAGUGCAGAUUUUGCACUGGUGCUCUCGUGGACCUUUCCUUAAUGCACUUUAUGCAUUAUAAUCACUUUCGGACUUUCCGAAGCUUACACACUCGACAAAUAGUCGAUUCCAAUCGAAGUCUAAUCCUCGGAUUUCGAGGAUUCACUUCCUUACAUCCUCCCCACCUUAAAAGAGUUUCGUCCUCGAAACGAACUCAAUACUACAAAACUUAUUUAGAAUCUUAAAUUCUAGACUCAUACCUCGAGUUACUCCUCGAACAAGUGUGGGUGAUUCGCUUUCAUCUCCACCUCGAGCUCCCAGGUGGCUUCACGAUCGUCAUGAUUGCUCCACCGGACUCGAACAUAAGGAAUUUCUCGAUUCCUUAACUUGCGCACUUCACGAGCGGUAAUUGCUACCGGAAACUCCUAGUAACUCAGGUCUUCCUGAUGUUCCCGCGGUUCAUACAACAUUGCAUGCUCGGGAUCAGGUAUGUACUUGCGGAGAUUGGAGACGUGGAAUACGUUAUGCACAUCCGCAAGCUUCGGCGGUAACGCGAGUCGAUAAGCCACCGUCCCAAUCCGCUCUAAGAUCUCAUAGGGACCAAUGUAUCGGGGGCUUAACUUUCCCCAAACUCCAAAUCGUUUAACGCCCCUCAUAGGCGAAACCUUUAAGAAAACGCGGUCGCCCACCGCAAAUUCCAAAUCUCGCCGGCGCCUAUCUGCAUAGCUCUGUUGUCGGGACUGCGCCGUGAGUAACCAUUUGCGAGCAAGGCGGACCUUUUCUUCUGCCUCUCGCAACACAUCAGGGCCGAAUUCCGUGCGCUCGCCCACAUCGCUCCAAUAAAUGGGAGAUCGGCACUUUCGCCCAUAAAGAGCCUCAAACGGUGCCAUCUCCACACUAGCAUGAUAACUGUUGUUGUCGGCAAACUCGGCCAUUGGCAAAUACUUACACCAGCCUCCCUUGUAGUCAAUGACACAAGCUCGUAACAUGUCCUCCAGAGUCCGAAUGGUUCUUUCAGUUUGCCCAUUUGUCUGGGGAUGAAAUGCAGUGCUGAAAUCGAGCCGUGUGCCAAGGGCCUCCCGGAGGCUUUUCUAAAAAUGUGAAGUGAACUUGGGGUCUCUAUCCGACACAAUCGACUUCGGUACCCCGUGUAACCUCACUAUCUCGUCAAGAUAUACCUGUGCCAAUCUAUCUCCUGCCCAGGUGUAGCACACUAGACCUUUGCAAAUUGCGAGGUUCGAGUGUUCGAUUUGUAUUCCGAACUUUUCCACACUUGGUGGAGGGCCGUCGAUGGUAUACCGGCCUNAAUAGUUCUCACGCCCCUAUUUUAUGGUUUACUUUUCAGAGCCUUCGGCACCGGCGGAGGCACGGGAUCGCGGCAAGGGAAUCGCUUAGCUAGCUAGCGGGGAGCGGUACUUUGCCUAGGUAGUUACUCUUUCUUUUGUAGUUGAGAGAGUGAGAGAUUUUGUAUCCAUGUAUAGAGACCACCUUAGUAUCUACCUAUAGCACUUGUAUCUGCGAUUUCCUUGUAUCACUUUAUGUUUUAUUUAGUGGAUUUACAGUUUUAACCUUAUCCUUUGUUGUAGCAUUUAGACAUUUAUUAUGCUCUGAUACUCCUAGAUGUCUUUUAUUAUUGUUUUUAUUAUUGUUGUUUUUAGACGCCUUAUAUGUUUUAGACGUAUGGCGGGUCUGGGCACGUGCCGGGCGGGCUUCCGCUGGGUCCCGGGGCGUGACACCAGGUGGUGUGGAUCGGCAAAAAGUGCGCAGACUUCGUCAAGCGAUCGAUAAUCACCCAGAUUGCGUCAUGGCCCCCCGUUGAGCGAGGUAAGCCAACGAUGAAAUCCGUAGAUAUAUCCUCCCAUUUCCAGAUGGUGAUAGGUAGACUUUGAAUGGGGUAAUUCUUCUCGUGGUCCUUUAGCUGACGGGAUGCAUAAGCUAUCACUUUCCCGCCCUGCAUCAGGACACACCCCAAACCCAGAUAGUAUGCAUCACUAUAGACCAUAAAGUCCUCGCCCUGCACCGGUAAGGUGAGUAUCGGAGCCGACGUCAAUCUUUUCUUCAACUCGUUGAAGCUUUGGUCACACUCGUCGCUCCAAAUAAACUUGGCGCCCUUCCGUGUCAGACCGGUAAGCGGAGUCACAAUCUUCGAAAAGCCCUCCACAAACCGUCGAUAAUAGCCCGCUAAGCCUAUAAAGCUUCGGACCUCCGUGACAUUUGUCGGGCGUGGCCAAUUUUCGACCGCUUCGACUUUCCUCGGGUCAACCGAAACACCGCCCUCAGAAAUCACAUGCCCGAAGAAGGCAACCUCUCGAAGCCAGAAGUCACAUUUCUUUAGCUUUGCGAAUAGCUUCUCCCCCCGAAGGAUUUGAAGCACUACCCGCAAAUGCUCCGCUUGCUCCUCGUCGUUCCGCGAAUAGACCAAGAUGUCGUCUAUGAAAACCAUGACAAAUCGAUCUAAGCAUGCUUUGAACACACGGUUCAUUAGAUCUAUGAAUGUUGCCGGGGCAUUAGUGAGCCCGAAAGGACCGUGUACUCAUAGUGUCCAUAACGUGUGCGAAACGCGGUCUUCUGAACAUCUUCCGACUUAAUCUUUAGCUGAUGAUAGCCGGGCUGUAGGUCUAUCUUCGAGUACACUCGUGACCCCUGUAACUGAUCAAAUAAGUCGUCGAUUCGGGGCAACGGGUACUUAUUCUUUAUCGUGACCCUAUUCAACUUUCGAUAAUCCACGCAGAGUCGAAACGAGCCAUCCUUCUUGUGCGCGAACAAUACCGGGGCUCCCCACGGUGAUACACUUGGUCUGAUGUUCCUUGUCGAGAAGAUCUUGUAACUGAUCCCUUAGUUCCCUUAGCUCUGCCGGCGCCAUGCGGUAUGGGGCCUUUGAGAUCAGCGCCGUCCCGGGAACCAAGUCUAUAACGAACUCGAUCUCCCGAUCCGGCGGCAUCCCCGGUAACUCCGUGGGAAAUACGUCUGGGAAUUCCCGCAGCAUCGACAAUUCUUCUAAAUUCGGAGCCACUCGGUCCACCUCCACGACGGUCGCCAAGAACGCUACGCAACCGCUGUUGACCAACUUUCUAGCUCUCGUCGCCGAUACCGUCGUGACGAAACAAGAGCUUCGACAAGCUCGAUAAACGAACUCUUUCUGUCCUGGCUCCCGAAAGGUGAUCGAUUUAUUCUUACAAUCGAUCGUGGUGUAAUACUUUGAGAGCCAGUCCAUGCCCAAAAUGAUGUCAUACGGCUCCAAUUUAGUGAGUUCCAACAUCCGGAUGGGCAUUAUCCAGUCACCUACUUGUACUGGGCAUGAUGAACACUCCGUGUAGGUAUUGAAUGACGACUCAGGACCUUCGACUCGCCACUUGCCACUUGCUUCUAUGGGUAUGUCAUGCAUGCGUGCAAAUGCUCUACUAAUAAAUGAGUGCGUGGCACCUGUAUCGAACAUAACCCUGGAGCGAACUCCAUUGAUUAGAACCAUACCUGCCACAACAUCAGGCUCCUCAACUUGGGCCUGAGCGGCGAAUACCCGUCCGCUCGACGCUGAUCGAGUCACUUUCGGCUGGCGCGGCAUAAGUGCGCGCCCUGCUGACACAGGGACAUAUGGGGCCCCUCCAUGAUAAGGUGUGACUGACGGAGUAGAUGAGGCCCUUGCCGGACAGUCGCGGCUAAUGUGUCCUUCUUGUCCACAAUUAAAGCACCUACCAUGUCGUUGUCUACACUGUGGCGCUCGAUGGCCCCCAACACCGCAGAUAGCACACCGCUGCGGCCCACGGCCCCACCACUGCGACCGCAGAUACUUUGGGGGCCUCCUCGAACUAGAUUGUCCUCCCGAACCGCCACCCGAUCGUUUCUUCCCCUUGUCUUGGGAUCCAGCCAACAACUCACGUUCCUCCCGCACGUGGGCAUCUCCAUGCCCUGCCCACAGCGCUCUGUCGAACACUUCGGCAAAAGUUGUGAGCUUGAACAACUGCACUGCCCAAUAUAUCCACGGCCGAAGUCCCCGCAAGAACCAUUCGGCCCUGUCCCCGUCAUCCUUGACCACGUCUGGGACACAGUCUAUAAUGUGGGUGAACUCCUGCUCGUAGUCUGCCACGGAACGAUCCCCCUAUCUCAACUUGCGAAACUUCUCCUUUAGCUUUCCCUUCUCGGUGUCGGGAAAGUAAUUUCCAAACAUUUUCCUCUUAAACUCCUCCGAGAGCAUUGGUGGAAGGUCAGAGGGCCGAUCCCGCUUCAACCGCUUCCACCACACCUUCGCCGCCCGCUCCAAGCAAUGGGUGGCGAGGGGAACCUUAUCCUUCUCCGGGGUGUAUAGAUCCUCGAAGAGGGUCUCCAUAGAGUCAACCCAGGACUCCACUACUGGCGGCUCCACUUUCCCUCCUUCAAAGGUUGGUGGUUUAAACUUCAUGAACUUCAUCAGAGCUGUCAGCGUACGCUCCCGCUCCGCUUUGUCGGCCGUCGUGUCAAGUGUCGCCGAACUAGAAGCUGUCCGAGGAGCACUUGCCGGCGGGGGAACUGCCGCUACCGGAACUUCCGCUAUGCCCUCACCCUCAGUCGCUACCGGCGCGCGUGCCGCAGGCGGAUCGCGAUCUCUUGCCGCUGUCACGGUCGCCGCCGCCGCCGCUUGUCGCUCAACGAAUUCCUAGAGCUGCUCAAACCGAGCCUCCUGGCGCUGCAUUGCGCCCAACAUCGUAGCGACCUGCUCCCGCAGCUCCUAUACUUCCUCCGAUCUUGGCUGCUCGGGCUCCGCGGAAGGCGGUACGGGAGCAGACCUACGCACGUAUCGUCUUGGGGACAUUUGCUCCUGAAAAGCAACGACUCGGUUAGUUACCUUAAUCCGAUAACUUCUCAACGUUCACGAAAUUAAACAACUCGACAAUAAAAUCGGGCGGAAGCUCGCAAGUACUCUAGUGCUGGACUCUUAGCGUCGCGUCGUCGGCCACCGACACAACCACUACGAGCCAAGAAACUAGUGUCACUUGGAUCCGUCUCUAUUCACAGCUAGAGACAUAACAUCAACUUCGACCCAAUCGAUCAACUUCCGCCACCGCCAUGGUUCACGUUCGCUCACGCCCCUAUAACCUUAGGGUUUACAAACCUAGGGUCUCCUAGGUCAUCCUAGACUCUCUCUUUACUUGCUCUUGCGCUCUGAUACCAUUUUAUCUGUCACGCCCCGAGACCGCUACCAAUUUGGUCCGGCCCGGGCGCGUCGAACAGCCGCCGAACGGACAGGACCUUCCCUGCCCGCCCAAGGCUAACCACCGAUCAUGUAUAAGAAUUUACCCAGGAAUCAAUUCAUAAAUACACGAUCACAAGAAGCACCACCAGUGCUAACAACCAAGAGCAAGAUACAAGUAUGAGGCAUACAAGUAGGUAAAGAGAGAGAGUUCUAUCUAUUACAUUCAUUCGAUUUAAUACAUUAAUCCCAUCCUUUACAUUCUUCCAAAAUAUAAAUACAAGUACUCAAACCUCACCCUAUACAACAUUUACUCUCAAACAUAAAUACAAGGUAGAGCUAAUGCAAAAAGGUAGGUAGCUAAUGCAACUAGGGCGGUAGGCCCUUACCACGAUCCUCGCGCUCACCGGGGACACCCGAGCUCGAACCUGAAAAGAGUGAGGUGAGAACUAUCUUCCAUAGUUCCCAGUGGGUACGGCCGCCGACUCCGCCGGUCUCCCCACUAGGUCCAAGUGGGCACAAGUAGAUAAACAGAUAGAUAGAUAUAAAAGCUGUAGAAACAAAUAGUAAAACUAAUCUACUGUGCCCGAAUCAUGUAUAUGAUGGAUACAUGCACAAUGAAAUAGAUAAUCACUAGCUCUUCGUAUGUCCAAGAAGUAAAGCUAUUUACCUGUUCAUUAACCUCGUGGCUCAUUCAAGGAUUUUCGCCUAUUACUCAUAUAACCAUCUCGAUACUACGAAUCCGAGACCGUCUGCGGGACCCCACAUAGGCUAUCCCUCGGGACCCCAAAUAGGCUAUCCCUAUCCCACGGGACCCCACAUAGGCUAUCCCUCGUGACCGACUCCGGAGCGCACUACUUGUGUGGAGCGACCAUCACAAGUUGAGAGCAGACAAUGAGUAUGAUCCAAUUCUCCCACCUCAAGGGUGCCAUAUUCUCUAGGGUCACCAUCACCAUAGUCAAUGGGUUUCAUAUACGCUACCACUCACACAUGCCACUUGUUCUUUGUUUACUAACAACUCAAUGCCACUCGUUCUUUUAUUUAUAAAUAAUUAGAUGCCACUCGUUCUUUAUUUCGGCUAUUGCAUCAUUUUUUCACCGCUGCACUAUAGGAUUACAAGUCUCGACCCAAUCCUCAUCAAUCCCCUAUAUCCAGCAACUAAGGCAUAAUAUGAUAUCAGCUAGGAAAGCAUAAGGAAAGGCGAUGCACACUAUCCUACAAUGCAUGUGAACACAAGAUGCAAGAUCUCAAGAUACUAAGACAUAAAAGAGAGCCCGAUUGCUUCGGGAUGGACACCACCCACCUCUUGGUGAUGCCGCGACGGUAGAAAACUCGACGCUGCGGUCCUUGCACGUCGCUUCAACUCCUCGGGGCAAAGCAAGCCCUCAAGUACAUGACUCAGCGAUUUCUCCGCACUCGCUCGUCGGAUCGACGAACCAUCUUCGCCGACGCAUUCCAAGACCUAGCAAUUUGGUUUACAACCUAUUAAAAUAGAUCAAAACCCUAGAUUUCCAAAAUCCCAAAUCCGUGCCCUAGAAUGGCAACGAGGGAGAAAUCCGUGGUGCGAGCUUCAAAUGCGAGCUCGAACCAUCUAUUUAUCUCCUCUAGGUUCCAUUCGAACCAUUCCUAAACAAUAAAAACCCCAAACUCUAGAAAUACCAUUAGAGGGUUUAGAGCUUACCUCUAAGCCAAGCUCCAAGCUUGAGAGAGAGAGAGAGAGAAGAUGAUCUUCUUCUUUUUCUUAGUCUUCUCCUUCCUCUUCUUCUUCUUUUCCUUCCUUUUCAUCCUCUCCUUCCUCUUCUCCUUCUUUUCUUUCUAGAGAGAGAUAGGGAAAGAGUGUGAGAGGUUUAGAGAGCAAAUGAGAGAGAGAAUAGGUCCCCCAGCCUCUAGUAAAGGCCAUUUUGCAAAUAGCCCCUUCAACUUUUCAUCUAUUAAACAGCCCUCAUUGGGCUGAUUUCGCAGUGAGGGACCGGUCCUUGCUCGGGGAGACCGGUCCCCGAGAGCCUUCCAUCUCAGGCAGAAGGAUUUCGCGUUCGGGAACCGGUCCUUGUCUGAGAGACCGGUCCCUGGGAGACCGGUCCUUGUCCGAGAGACCGGUUCCCGAGAGUUGGGUUUUCGGGACUUAGCCAAAUUUCGGCUAUUUUCGCUGGGCCAACGUUCGUCGACCGGUCCUUCACUGCCAGGGACCGGUCUCAUUAGAGACCCCCCACAGCCCAGCCUGAUGGGACCGGUCCCUCCCUGCCAAGGACCGGUCCUCGAGAGUAUUUCUGCUCAAGUGCAGAUUUUGCACUGGUGCUCUCGUGGACCUUUCCUUAAUGCACUUUAUGCAUUAUAAUCACCUUCGGACUUUCUGAAGCUUACACACUCGAUAAAUAGUCGAUUCCAAUCGAAGUCUAAUCCUCGGAUUUCGAGGAUUCACUUCCUUACAUCCUCCCCACCUUAAAAGAGUUUCGUCCUCGAAACGAACUCAAUACUACAAAACUUAUUUAGAAUCUUAAAUUCUAGACUCAUACCUCGAGUUACUCCUCGAACAAGUGUGGGUGAUUCGCUUUCAUCUCCUCCUUGAGCUCCCAGGUGGCUUCGCGAUCGUCAUGAUUGCUCCACCGGACUCGAACAUAAGGAAUUUCUCGAUUCCUUAACUUGCGCACUUCACGAGCGGUAAUUGCCACCGGAAACUCCUCGUAACUCAGGUCUUCCUGAAGUUCCGGCGAUUCAUACAACAUUGCAUGCUCGGGAUCAGGUAUGUACUUGCGGAGAUUGGAGACGUGGAAUACGUUAUGCAUAUCCGCAAGCUUCGGCGGUAACGCGAGUCGAUAAGCCACCGUCCCAAUCCGCUCCAAGAUCCCAUAGGGACCAAUGUAUCGGGGGCUUAACUUUCCCCGAAGUCCAAAUUAUUUAACGCCCCUCAUAGGCGAAACCUUUAAGAAAACACGGUCGCCUACCACAAAUUCCAAAUCUCGCCGACGCCUAUCUGCAUAGCUCUGUUGUCGGGACUGCGCCGUGAGUAACUGUUUGCGAGCAAGGCGGACCUUUUCUUCCGCCUCUCGCAACACAUCGGGGCCGAAUUCCGUGCGCUCGCCCACAUCGCUCCAAUAAAUGGGAGAUCGGCACUUUCGCCCAUAAAGAGCCUCAAACGGUGCCAUCUCCACACUAGCAUGAUAACUGUUGUCGGCGAACUCGGCCAUUGGCAAAUACUUACACCAACCUCCCUUGUAGUCUAUGACACAAGCUCGUAACAUGUCCUCCAGAGUCUGAAUGGUUCUUUCAGUUUGCCCAUCUGUCUGGGGAUGAAAUGCAGUGCUGAAAUCGAGCCGUGUGCCAAGGACCUCCUGCAGGCUUUUCCCAAAAUGUGAAGUGAACUUGGGGUCUCUAUCCGACACAAUCGACUUCGGUACCCCGUGUAACCUCACUAUCUCGUCAAGAUAUACCUGUGCCAAUCUAUCUCCUGCCCAGGUGGUGUGGAUCGGCAAAAAGUGCGCAGACUUCGUCAAGCGAUCCACAAUCACCCAGAUUGCGUAAUGGCCCUCCGUUGAGCGAGGAAAGCCAACGAUGAAAUCCAUAGAUUUAUCCUCCCAUUUUCAGACGGGGAUAGGUAGACUUUGAAGUUUUCCCGCUGGAAACCGGUGCUUCGCUUUCACUUGCUGACAAGUCAGACACUUCACCACGAAGCGCCCAAUGUCAACUUUCAUCCCCGGCGACCAAUAGAGUCCUCUCAGCUCAUGAUACAUCUUGGUGCCGCCCGGGUGAUCCGCGUAUGGAGACCGGUGGGCUUCUUGUAGAAUCAAUUCACGAAGCUCUUCAUUUUCAGGCACGCACCACCGGUUCCGAAACCGAAGCGCGCCACCGGCGUCCACACUGAAAUCGCCACCUCGACCUUCCUCGAUGUUACGCCGCACCUUUUGGAGACCCGGAUCUGCAGGUUGCAAUUUCUUGAUCCUCUCCAAUAAGGUCGGUUGAAUGACAAGUGCCAUCAAUUAGGUCGGGACCUCGGGAGCGACCACUUCAAGGUCCAGCCGCUCCAUUUCCAGCCCUAGGGGUGUUUGCCGGGUAACAUCAAAAGCGAGGUUCUUCGCCGACUUCCUACUAAGCGCAUCCGCGACCACGUUUGCUUUGCCCGGGUGGUAGAGAAUGUCAACAUCGUAAUCCUUUAAUAACUCUAGCCACCGCCUCUGCGGCAUGUUUAGCUCCUUCUGGGUAUGCAGAUACUUCAGACUUUUGUGGUCGGUGUAGAUCUCGCAGUGCGCACCAUAUAAGUAGUGCUUCCACAGUUUCAGCGCAAAGAUCACCGCCGCCAACUCCAAGUCAUGAAUGGGGUAAUUCUUCUUGUGGUCCUUUAGCUGACGGGAUGCAUAAGCUAUCACUCUCCCGCCCUACAUCAGGACACACCCCAAACCCAGAUAGGAUGCAUCACUAUAGACCAUAAAGUCCUCGCCCUGUACUGGUAAGGCGAGUAUCGGAGCCGACGUCAAUCUUUUCUUCAACUCGUUGAAGCUUUGGUUACACUCGUCGCUCCAAAUAAACUUGGCGCCCUUCUGUGUCAGAUCGGUAAGCGGAGUCACAAUCUUCGAAAAGCUCUCCACAAAUCGUCGAUAAUAGCCCGCUAAGCCUAUAAAGCUUCGGACCUCCGUGACAAAAUGUGAACGCCGAGACGGAAGCACACCGCUGCAACGGGCGCACGAAAGCUCGAUCCGUCGCUCCCAAUGCGUUCGCAAGCUCGCUCUCCACCAACCCUCAAAGUUUUAGAGAGAGAUCUAGAGAGAUGAAAGAGAUAUUUAGAGAGAGAAAGGGAGGUUUCUUUCUCCCUCCAUGUGUGCGUGUGUGGCUGGUGUGGUGCUCGGCUGAGGAAGAAGAAGGAGAAAAGCUCCUUUUGUUACACCAUAGCCCCCUCAACAAUACACUAUUUUUAUUCAGUUUUGCAGCUCAGGUACAGAUAUUUUUCGCCUGCCUUUCUGGAUGUCCGUUUGAGCUCAAAUUUUAUAGUCAGGCUCGGUUUUAUUUAAAUUAACGAAAGAAAUUUUAAUCUUUCAGUUUCGUCACCGAAAGCUCUACCGAGCUGUAAUCUCUAGCAGAUAGCAGUCGGAUUUUAUUUUCUACCUUCUGGGUGUCAGAAUGACAUAAAACUUUAAAUCUAGCCCCAUAAAAAUAAUUCUGACAUAUUCUCCAGUUUUCAUAAUUUUCUGACACUGCAUUUUCUGCUAAUUUAUCUGUCACAGCCCGUGACCACCCGCCUAUUCGGCCGAGGUCCCGGCGCCGCCGACAUCGCCGAAUGGACAGGGUUUCCCCUGUACUAUGGACAGAGUCUCCCCUAUACAUUCAAGGCAUCGCAAUCAAUACAAUUCACGAAGGUUCCAACCCGGAACAGAUAUCAAUCAAGAUUGCAAGUGGAAGGUAUCAUACAACAUAAACACAUCCUAAGUUAUUACAUUCAUUCACUUUCAUAGUUUUUACAUCACAGUUUCCAUUCUUUUUCAUCCAAAUGCAAUCUAAGUUAUUACAACAUUUACUUACUACAAGUUUGAUACAUUGUAUUCUUUUCAUUUUCUUUACUCCUAAGCUAUAUAGACGGGGUACUGCUAGCUCUGGUCUCUGCGGUAGGGCGCUAUCUGCAGAACUACGCCACACACGUGUGUACCUGCACCCCCAAAACAGCAACACGGGGGUGAGACUAUUGUCCAUAGUCCUCAGUGGGUUUAGCCACCCAAGAGAACCAGCUCAACCAACAGGUCUAACGAGGCACUGCAACAUGUUAGUUCAACAAUAUACAACAGAUAUAUAUUCAAUUGAAAUACAUGUCAUGCCUCACGAAAUGCAAGAUGCAAUACCNNNN